rnacentral:snRNA from 1 species
GUGUUCACUUUGGCCACACGGACGUUAAAACUGGGAUGAUGCAGAGAAGACUCGCCUGGUCCCUGCACAAAUUCAUGAAGUAUUCCAUAUUUUU